AGGGGGUGAACCGACCUCCUGGAGAUUCAGGAUGUGAUACAGCAGCAGUUCAAAGGACAGAGCCAUUGAACCACCAGAAAGAAGUCUGACAGGAAAUGAGGACCAGAGGGACAAUUAUUGCACCUCUAAUGGUGGUUUUAAAUGGUUCCAGUUCUCGGAGCGAGCUCUUACUCCCUGCCAUGGGAGUGACACCAUAAAGUGCAGGAGCUACACUGAGAGCAAAGGUUCCUGGAGAUUUGAACGCCACUGCAAGCCUAAAAUAACCCCGCAAGUUCAACCAAUCAAAGGAGAAUCCAUUAAGAGGCACAAAUUCCCAGUUGCCGCUUAUAAAUGUAACUGCGUCCAAAAACUGCCGCCUCUAUCUCAGGAUGGCAAGGGUUGAGCUGGUGCUGUGGGAUUGUGAACACCAGUCAAUCAAGGUCAUGUGGACCCCGAUGGCUUCUCCCCACGGCAACAGUAAUCAAUUGCCCUAUGGACCUUUGUAAAAUGCAGCAAAAAGGGAGCAAUAACUCUACUGGCACCAAAGAAACAGAAAAUAAUGUUAUGCGUAUUGGCUUUGCUCCACUCGGGUACAUUUCAUCAGGAAAAAGAGAAGGACUUGAAAAGCUAAAUCAAUAGUUAAUUAUAUCGGGCAUAAACAUAAAUACAGUUGUGCUAAUGCCUUGGUGAGAAUUGCUAAGUAUUGGUCUUGGUGGGUUUUAAGAGACCCAUUUCAUCUUAUGUAGCCGAUAGUCUAUUAAAUGGACAUGGUGUAUUUGUAUCCAAAUAAUGUUCUUACGUACAAAAA